rnacentral:lncRNA from 1 species
AUGCAGCAGAUCAUAGAUAAUUCUUUUGUUUUUAAAUUAAGUCACAGCUCUUUAGUUUUACUAGAAACAGAAUACCUGUCUAGCAUAGAAGUAUUAGAACAUUUAGAUGAACAAGAAGAAAUGUUCCCCAAUCCUACCUCUCAAAUUCUGAUGCAUAACAGAAUACCCCUCUUUCUCUGCGAUGUGUAUUAUGCCACUUGCCACGUGCUUUAUACCCUCAGCAGUGGCUCAUGGACCCACCCUCAUUCCUGUCAAUGUGAUGAGGGUCUCUUCUCUUUUGCCUUCCUUCCGUGUAGUCGCAUCGUGGACAAGAUGCGUGACAGUAGCUGUGGAAUCCGGCCAAGCCCCAACAUGGUGCAGGGAAGCACCUACAAAAAGACCUUCAUAGGUGAGCCCCUGACCCCUACCCCACCCCCAGGGCCGGACCAGGCACUGGAGACCUGGGGCUUGGUGACUUGCGACUCAGUGGUGUUGAGGCCUGAGCUGCCUGGCAGCCAACAGGGCAGCCUGAGAGGUGGGUGCGGCCACAGCUUUGGGCAGUGGGGUUGGCAUUUGGUCUGCUCCAGGGCCAAGCCCCAAGGCUGUUCCAAGGCUGCCCCAGGGGUCAAGGUCAAUGAGGUCACAGCCAGGCACCCCUGGGGAAGCUGGUCUGGAGCCUGUUGUCUUGACGGGUGCUGCCCUUGCCCCGCUGCAGGCUCCUCCCUGGUGGAUUGGCUCCUCUCCAGCGGCUUUGCAGCCAGCCGUCUGGAGGCUGUGACGCUGGCCUCGGUGCUCAUGGAGGAGAACUUCCUUCGGCCAGUAGGCACCCGAAGCACGGGAGCCAUUCGCUCGGGGGAUCUGUCUGAGCAGUUCCUGGAUGACUCCACGGCCCUGUACACAUUCGCUGAGAGCUGCAAGAAGAAGAUAAGUCCCAAGGAAGAAAUCAGUCUCAGUACCAUGGAGUUAAGUGGCACUGUGGUGAAGCAAGGCUAUCUGGCCAAGCAGGGGCACAAGAGGAAAAACUGGAAGGUGCGGCGCUUUGUUCUGAGGAAGGACCCGGCUUUUCUGCAUUACUACGACCCUUCCAAAGAAGAGAACCGGCCAGUGGGUGGGUUUUCUCUUCGUGGCUCCCUGGUGUCAGCUCUGGAGGAUAAUGGCGUUCCUGCUGGGGUUAAAGGGAAUGUCCAAGGAAAUCUCUUCAAAGUGAUUACUAAGGAUGACAUACACUACUAUAUCCAGGCCAGCAGCAAGGCUGAGCGUUCAGAGUGGAUUGAAGCUAUCAAGAAGCUAACGUGACAAGGCCCUGAGGGAACGGGACUGAGAUUCCUCCCUCUUACCAGAUGACACAGGAUUUCCCGGACAAUGGGAGUAUGUUAAAAUUUUUAACUUUUUAUAUUUCGUAUGGCUUUGGAGUGAGAUUGAGGGAGUUCCUUAAAGUUGGCAGUGGUGCUAUUGCCUUCCCCACCUUCAUUUACAGUUAACCUGUAAAUGCUGAAGCAGCCUUGUCAGCCAAGUCAGCACCUUGACUUUCGCCCAUUAUCACAUCCAGCCCCUCCUUGGGUACCAAAGUAGGUCUCCCUUGUCACACUAACUGGUCCAUGUAAUACUCAACAAAACACUAUAACCUCAUGAUGGAGCUCUCCGAAAUGCUGUCAGCACCUCUUAACUCCUUUGGAAUGAAUAAAAAUUGACACUUGUUCCUGGCUGUU